GCGGAAGUAGUGUAGUCUGGCAUCACAGGAGCUUCCCAAGCUCCUAACCCGGGUUCAAAUCCCGGCUUCCGCA
rnacentral:tRNA from 5 species